rnacentral:lncRNA from 1 species
CAGUCAUGUGGUUCGAACAACCACUAUCUAUAAACCACAGUUCACUUGAAAUAUUAUUAGUAGCAAGAUGAGGCAUAAAAAACUUACUUUUUUCUCCAUUUUUCAUUACUAAAGUCUCAAAAUCUCAUUCAAGUAAUUACAAUUUCACCACGAUCACUUUUGAAUCACCUUAAAACUUCUUCUGCAGAAUCAAUUGAGUCUGCUUUGAUGUGGUUGCUGCUACAAUACGUGAGAAUAUGUUGUCAUGGAUAGCUUGUUGAAUAAUUGCUAAGGCCUUGGAGUCUUUCAUCUUGUUGUCACUUAAUAUGCUUUCUUCAUCUGGAUCUGUAUAGCCAUAUUUUA